GAAAUGCGAUAAGUAAUGUGAAUUGCAGAAUUCAGUGAAUCAUCGAAUCUUUGAACGCACAUUGCGCCCGCCAGCACUCUGGCGGGCAUGCCUGUUCGAGCGUCAUUUCAACCCUCAGAACCCCUUGCGGGAUCUGGCGUUGGGGAUUGGCAUCCAGCCAGCCCCGAAAUCUAGUGGCGGUCCCUCCGCGACCUCCCCUGUGCAGUAGCGAUACCUCGCAGCGGGACAGCGGUCUGACCACGCCGUAAAACCCCCAACUUCUCAAGGUUGACCUCAAAUCAGGUAGGACUACCCGCUGAACUUAAGC
rnacentral:misc_RNA from 1 species